rnacentral:rRNA from 1 species
UACGUAGGGGGCAAGCGUUGUCCGGAUUUAUUGGGCGUAAAGAGCGUGUAGGCGGCUUUACAGGUCCGUUGUGAAAACUCGAGGCUCAACCUCGAGACGCCGGUGGAAACCGUAAAGCUAGAGUCCGGAAGAGGAGAUGGAAUUCCUGGUGUAGCGGUGAAAUGCGCAGAUAUCAGGAAGAACACCCGUGGCUAAGGCGGCUCUCUAGUACGGUACUGACGCUGAGACGCGAAAGCGUGGGGAGCGAACAGG